UUAUAUUGUCUUAAUGAAGUGAAUCGUUCAAAUGGCAGUAAAAUCUCCAAGGAUCACAGCUCGAGAACCAUUGGCUUCCUGUAUACUAUAGGAGUCAAUUCAAGGUACUAAUUCACACCUAUAAAGCACUGAACAACUCUAGCCCCUCUUAUAUCUCCUCACAGAUCCAUAGGUAUGUCCCUUCUUGGUCUCUCCGCUCUGCCCGUGACCACCUCCUGUCCGUUGUCCACACCUGUAUGGCCAACUCACGCUUGCAAGACUUCUCACGGGCGGCUCCCUUCCUAUGGAAUAGACUGCCUACCGCCAUCAGACUCUCCCUAGUCUUGCAUCUUUUAAGAAGUGCCUUAAAACCGAUCUCUUUAGGAAAGCUUAUGGCCUCCCAGAGUAACCUCUAUCUCACAUACCUGUAAGCUAAAUUGAGCAGGGUCCUCUUCAACCUAUUGUUCCCGUAAGUUUAUUUGUAAUUGUCCUAUUUAUAGUUAAAUCCCUCUCUCAUAAUAUUGUAAAGCGCUACGGAAUCUGUUGGCACUAUAUAAAUGCCAAUAAUAAUAAUAAUAACUGCAGAAGUUAGUUUCUUCUUGGGAUCUCCAAAACUACAAUCCGACCUCACCUAUAUCCACACAAAAGAUGCUUGGAAGAGUUUCCAGAAAAAAGUCUCUACUCUUAUCCAAAAACAAACUCAAGCAUCUUCAGUUUUCCAGACACUACUAGAAUUUCAAAUGGGAUAGGAUUGAUGCAUGGUCAGAAAAAAACAAAAUGGAACAGUUUGGCACUAAACAUCAAAUGCGGGUUUAGAGCACACAGAGUGGUAGCCAUAUGAAACUAACAUGGCCUUCUCAGUCCCCUGACUAGAACCUCAGAGAAAAACUGUAGGAUGAACUGAAGAAGAGAGCCCAACAGUGUCGACCUCAAAAUUUGAACAAUCUGGAGAGAUUCUAAAUGGAUGUAUGGUCUCAGAUCCAUUGACAUGCAUAUUUCAAAUUUCAUAUUUAUAUUGGAAAAGGGAGGUAGCACAAAGUAUUGACUAAAACAGUGUCAAUAAUUCUG